AAAGCUCCCUUCGGGGAGCAAGUAGAGUGGCGCACGGGUGAGUAACACGUAGGUAAUCUACCUUUGGAUGGGGAAUAACACCGAGAAAUCGGUGCUAAUACCGCAUAAUGCAGCGGCACCUAAUGGUGACAGUUGUUAAAGCGGGGGAUCGCAAGACCUCGCGUCUAAAGAGGAGCCUGCGGCGGAUUAGCUAGUUGGUAAGGUAACGGCUUACCAAGGCGAUGAUCCGUAACCGGCCUGAGAGGGCGGUCGGUCACACUGACACUGACAUACGGGUCAGACUCCUACGGGAGGCAGCAGUCGGGAAUUUUGGGCAAUGGGCGAAAGCCUGACCCAGCAACGCCGCGUGAAGGAUGAAAUCCCUCGGGAUGUAAACUUCGCAAGAACGGGAAGAAUAAGUUGGUGUGAAUAUCACCAGCGAUGACGGUACCGUUUGUAAGCUCCGGCUAACUCCGUGCCAGCAGCCGCGGUAAUACGGGGGGAGCAAGCGUUGUUCGGAUUUACUGGGCGUAAAGGGCGGGUAGGCGGCCACCGCAAGUCAGUUGUGAAAUCUCUGGGCUUAACCCAGAAAGGUCAACUGAUACUGCGGGGCUAGAGUGCAGAAGGGGCAACUGGAAUUCUCGGUGUAGCGGUGAAAUGCGUAGAUAUCGAGAGGAACACCUGCGGCGAAGGCGGGUUGCUGGGCUGACACUGACGCUGAACUGCGAAAGCUAGGGGAGCGAACGGGAUUAGAUACCCCGGUAGUCCUAGCCUUAAACGAUGAAUGCUUGGUGUCUGGGGUUUUAUAGUCCCCGGGUGCCGUCGCUAACGCUUUAAGCAUUCCGCCUGGGGAGUACGGUCGCAAGACUG
rnacentral:rRNA from 1 species